GAACUCUGUGCCUUGCCUGCCAGGUGUAGCUGUCAGAGCUCUGGGCAGUCAGUCUGCUGGAGGCUGGGGUCCAGGGAAGUCACAUUGCUGCUGCUGCCUGCACCAUGUCCUUCUGCUCCUUUUUUGGUGGGGAGGUUUAUAAAGACCACUUCAAGCCUGGUAAUUAAUCUAAAUGAACACUUAUUAACAAUGGCAAGUCUGACACUCUUACUGCUGUGCAUUCUAACUCCUAUUAUCCUUAAAGCCUGAUGUGAGUGGUAGUCCAUACAGCACCCUAGGGUGUCAUAGUUUAUUUAUCUGAGAGUUUAUUGGUUUGUUUCUUUUAAAAAAAUAUAUAUUUUUAUUUUAUUUUUUUAAUUUAAUUUUUUUUUUCUGCAGAGUGGAAGUGUUGUAAUCAUGGGAACUGAUACAAUGUUUCAGUUCCCAUCAUUUCUAAAUGACAUACACUGACUGUAGGCUAUAUGAGUAGAGCCAUAAUAGUUGGUUAUGGGACAAAAGUCUUCUUCAAAUUUUGGUUUAAAACCUGCUUUGAUUUCAAUCUCUGACUGUUUAGACUUUAGUGAUUAUGUCUGUCUUCUACUUGUGCUUUUCUAAACAUUUUUAAUGUUAGAAUUUAUCUAUCAGCAUAUGGCCUAAUAUGUAACAUGAAUAUAUCUGGAUAAAUACAGAAUCUGGUGUAUAAUCACUGCAAAAUGCCUGAGAAUUGCAUUUCAAUUCUGAUGAAAAGCUGAACGUGGAGAAAUAAUCACACAUUUUUCCCUCUGGUACACUUGUAUUUUUAUUAUUGAUACAUAACUUGCAUUGUCACAUGUUAGUACAGUGGUUCCCAAACUUUUUUUAGGUUAAAGGCUCCCUUAAUAUUUCAAUAAUUUUCCAAGGCGCCCAAAGUAAAAAAAUAUUUCUAGGUUGAAUACAUGUACAGCGCAGUGGCAUAUCCUGGGCCCCUGUAACAAUCCAGGCACAAUAACCAUUACAGCACGCGGUAGUAGUUAUGGUGCCAGGUGUGCUGUGGUGCCCUCCCACGGUAAGUAGUCAAACUGUUUAAGAACAGUUUGACAACUUAACUGUGGUCUGUCAGGAGGGGCAUUAGGGUUUGUGUACGGUGGUGCAGUGUGUGCGAUACAAUGUGUGCAUGAAGGGGUACAGUGUGUGAGGACAGAGUGUGUUUGAGGGGUGCAGUGUGUGUAUAGGGGAGAAUUAUUGUGGGUCUGUGGGGUUGGAGGGUGUGUGUGUGUGUGUGUGUGUGUGUGUGUGUGUGUGUGUGUGUGUGUAUAUAUAUAUAUAUAUAUAUAUAUAUAUAUAUAUAUAUAUAUAUAUAUAUAUAUAUAUAUAUAUAUAUAUAUAUAUAUAUACACACGAUUUUUUUUUUUUUUGAUAUCCCUCCUCUCUGCAAUUCAAUUUCUACCAGCCUCUCGAAGAAUAAUCCUGGGUUCACAAUGUUAAAAUCGUCUUUUUCUGGCAUUUGUCCCAGAUGUUUGACGUAUGUUUUUAUAUUUGGAUGCCAGUAUGUCCUGUUCCUAGUAUGUAAUAAACUUUGCAUGGGGCUUCUUUGAUAUCAGAGUUUACAAAGUGGACCUGAUAGCCCGGUAUACCUUUAAGAAAAACGAACAACUCAAAGGAUACCUGUGCCACACUAUUUCUUAGGCAAUUUGCAAUAUCCCGUGUGAAGGCAUUGUGGUUUGAAAAAGCCAAGUUUAAUUAUUAAAGGGAUGCUCCACUGCCCAAAUUAAAAAAAAUAAAAAAAAAAAUAAAAAAAAAAAAUCACUUUUAAUAGAUAUAUCGCUAAUGAAAUAAUUAGUCACAAAAGUCUUGUUUAAAAAUAAAUAAAAUAAUAAAUUCAGAGGCUACUGACUUGCACAUCUUAUGGUAUUUUGUUUAGAAGGCAAAUAAAUAAAAUAAUAAUAAUAAUAAUAAUAAAAAAAACUUUACAACCAAAACCAAACUAAUGUAUGCUUUUAAUUAUGCAUUUUCCAUUGGUGGUAUAUCUAAAACAGGAGUCUGGUCUGUCCCUUUAAAGCCUUGGGUCUUCAAUGGGAUCUAUCAAGCAGGAUAACACCUGGUACACUAUCUGGUAUUGUGGUACUUAAUGUUACAGGAGUUAAUAUAUUGCAUUGUAUUUGUCAAUACAAGAACAUGGCUUUAUUUACAGAACAGUGGGACAUACACAUAAUCUGGAAAAUAAUCCACAGCAACUAAUUACACAAAUUAUUAUUUUGUUUUCAAUAAAUGGUCCUGCAGUUUAAUGUGUAGCUUGCACCAAAAGCUUCCCCUGUGUUGUAAUAACCCUUUAUGUACGGUCUAUAGCAUGUUGUGUAACAUGAUCCUCUGCUGUUUCAUAACUUCUUCUAAAUGACUUCACAGGAUCUGUUAACAUUUCCCGAACGAGAAGUAAAAUGUAAUGUUUCAGAACAACUUAUUAGACCUUACUCCAUAAUUUAUAUAAUAAAUAAAUAAAAACACAUUCUCCAUAACUGGCUAAUUGGGGAAUAUCUUAUUUUGAAAGGCAAAACAGUAGACUACUAUACAUUUCAUUACUUAGUGCUAGCUGGGUAUUGAUGCCAGAGUAGGCAUUUGCCUGUUGAGGGAUAGAGGUGGGGGUGGGAUGUUAGUUGUAUAACUUCUGUAAAUAUAGUGAAUGUGUUAAUAAUUUAUGAUCAGUCUUCCCUUAUCCUGCUAUCACAAGCUAUAUUUGGUACAGUUUGCAAUGGGAUAUGUCUUAUUUUACUGCAACUCUGAACUCUAUUAUCUAUUAUUAUUAUGGUGGUGGCAGACUUGGUCCAAUGACAAGUCUGUUAAGUCUUUAGCCUGACUAAUCAUCAUGGGAAAUGCAAUAGUUCACAAACCUUGUCAGAGCUAUGUUCACCAGUAACUGAUGGGACUAGUGCUUAUUCUGUGAUUAGUUUUGAAAUGUGACUUUCUGGACUUGUUGAUAAAGUUGUGAACAAAAAAUAGUAUUAAAUGUGUGUAAAAAGGCAUCCUGUACUCAGAAUUGGUCUAAAAUGGAGACUCGUGGGCCACCAACAGGUCUGGCUUUAGCAAUGUCUGUUUUUGUACAGAACUGGGUAAUAUCUAAAUCUAGGACUCCUAACCUUUUAAUAUGCUGGAUACAAUCUGCUUUAGAAUAAUGGCUUUGAGUAGUGAUCUGUGCAUAUACAUAGAUGACAUGUGACUGAAAAAUUGGUUUUGUUUUUGCCCUUCUAGGAGUAUACGCAUGUGCCCAGUGUGGCUUUGAGCUGUUCUCCAGCCGUUCUAAAUUCGAGCAUUCCUCUCCUUGGCCGGCUUUCACAGAGACCAUCCAUGAUAACAGUCUAUCAAAGUACAAAGAACGGCCCAAUGCUUUUAAGGUAAGGCCUCCGGAAAUAUCUUCUGCUGUGGGUCACCAAAAGACUUUGCUACUACAUCUAAAAUGGCUAUUAAUGGAGUUAAAGUUUACUCUUAACCUUUCAUGUGGAUGGCUGUUUGAGGAGCUAUUUGCCAACUAGAGAAGUGUCCUAAAAAUAAUGUGUAGGGAAUUGCACUUCACCCAACCCAACAAAGCAAACCUAACCUGUCAGGAUAGGGGUAGGAAUGAAAACACACAAACUCAGGACACAACAAGGAAAAGACAAUUCAUAUGCCAAUCCUUAGAAUGGCCAGGCUAAAGGAGAACAGUCAGAGUAAUAGCCGAGCUCAUGGAUGGGAGAAACCUGGGUAAACAGAGACAGGCCAAGUCAAAGGAGUACAGAGGUCAGGAUAAAUGUUAAUCAAAGAAGCAGAGAAAUGUAAGAAUGCGCUACUGAGCUCACUAAAGCCACAACAAGGCAACUAUGGCUGGGACAGGGGAGCAUUUAUAGACAUGGGAUGUUUAUUAUUGGCUGAGUUGUUUUGGUGUGUGGGCUGCAAAAUAACUUAAUUGCAGGACCCACAACGUCAUUAGAAUGCACUGGAGUCGAUUCAGCAAGCGCGUCAUUUAAAUGCGGCUGCUCAUCUGGGUGCGUAUUUAAAGACGCGAACAAGCAAUGUGCGCCGCCGUAGAGAAUUUUAAUUUUAUGGAACAAUAAUGGUGCUUUAUAGCUCCUUUCAGUGUCCAUAGAUUUUUUUUUAUUUUUUUUUGCCAUCCUUCAUAUAAAAUAUUUUGACUCAACACUCUGUAUUUACCAUCCUUGAUAAUCACUGUGUUGAUACAAAAGGAUUCUACUGUGAUGGAUGGCACCAAACAAAUUGUAUCAAACACUGAAUAGAGGAGGGGUGCUCUACCGCUAGAGUUGACCUACUCAGACAUUUCUCUGAUUGCAGUCACUGUGUAACGAUCCUCUGUCUUCACAGAUCUCAUGUGGAAAAUGUGGAAAUGGAUUGGGGCAUGAGUUCUUAAAUGAUGGGCCAAAGAAGGGUCAAUCUCGUUUCUGAAUAUUCAGUAGCUCAUUGAAGUUUGUCCCGAAAGGUAAGACCUGCCUAUAUUUAAUCUAAAUUGAUCCGUUGUGUUCUUGAACUAUCUUCAAGUUUCUUCCUAUUUUUAUGGCUUUGUCUGAACUCCUUGACAUUGAUAGGGAUUAUUCAUUAAACAGCACAUAGCAUUAAAAGGAAAAACAGAACUACAAAAAUCCAGACUAACGUAAACUAGCCAAGUGAGUACAGCUGAGUUGGAGGAAUUUGUUCAGAUCAGCCUUUCAGACUUAAAUUUAGCAACUUGCUUUUUUUAGUUCUCUACGAUUCAGUGCCUAGUGAAUGGACCUAUGCUGUGUGUAAACCUGUCUAGGACAGUUGAAGGUUAAUCUUGCAGUGUGUGUGUAUAUAUAAUGGAUGAGGUGGAAUUUGUUCCUAAUUGUGAACUUUAGACCAGUUCUGUGGUAUCUUAAAUCAGCAUUUCUUCGAAUUCAGUCGCAAGUCCAGAAAAUGCAUACACUUCGGUCAUAAAAUGUGCUUGCUUGCAAACAUUUUCUGUUCCGAGAUACAAAUUUACCUGAUCGUAGCUUAAAGGGAUACUAUAGUGCCAGAUUGCAGCUAAAUAUAUCUUAGAACAGAUUAAUUAAAGGGACACUAUAGUCACCAGAACAACUACAGCUUAUUAAAUUUGUUCUGGUGAGUAGAUUUAUUACCGUCAGGCUUUUUGCUGUAAACUCUCUUUUUUCAGAGAAAAUGCAGUGUUUACAUUACAGCCUAGUGAUAACUUCACUGGCCACUCCUCAGAUGGCUGUUAGAGAUCCUUCCUGGGUCAUGGCUGCCUAAAAUGCAUCCAAACAUUCAGAGUCUCCACCCUCUGCAUGCAGACAUUGAUUCAAUUCAUCUCUAUGAGGAGAUGCUGAUUGGCCAGGGCUGUGUUUGAAUCAUGCUGACUCUGACCCUGAACUGCCUCUUUGUCAGUCUCAGCCAAUCCUAUGGGGAGCACUGUGAUUAGAUCAGGCUACCACUUCUGAUGAUGUCAGCAGACUAGAUGGUGGUUUUAACACUAUAGGGUCAGGAAUACAUGUUUGUGUUCCUGACCCUAUAGUGAUCCUUUAAAUACACAUUAGUUCAUUUAGCACUAUUUAAUUUGUCUCCCAUGUUAAGAUAAGUGUAGGACCCAUCGGUAUUGGAGUACUGUGGUGGGCUGAAAGGAACAAUAGUGUCAGGAAUACAUGUCUAUAGUUGUAAAAUACAGUUUAGGGUUCGGCGCUCCCUCUCUGUUUAGGUAAAAAAAAAUUUACACACCUUUCGUUCCAGUUUCAUGCCGGUCUCGUUGUCUGCUUUACCUCCUUGGCUGAGAUCAUCAAACGAUAGCAUUGGGAGGCUAUGGCGCAUUUGCGAUAAAAUGCUGCGCUGAUCAGUAUCACCUUGUAGAGAUGCAUUGAAUGACCCAGGAAGCACUUCUAGUUGCCAUCUGAGUGACUGAUGCUGGAGGUGUCCCUAGGGAGAAAUGUAAACACUGCCCUUUUCUCAAAAAAGGCAGUGUUUACAGAAAAAAAGCCUGCAGGGACUGACUAUACUCACCAGAACAACUACUUUAAGCUGUAGUUGUUCUGGUGACUAUAGUGUCCCUUUAACAUGAUGUGGCCAUAUGUUUGAAUGGAAUCCCCAUAUUUGUUUGCAUAAAGGUGAUAUUUAAGUAGCCUUGUAAAAUUUAAAACUGUAUGUUUGUUUAUGUGUGCUGUUCCUGAAUCUGUACUUUUUAUGAAUGUGGCAUAUCAUGGGGAUCAAAUUCACAUGAAAUCCUCCCGAAGUAGACUGGACCUUCCCUAGCACCCAUGAUCAUUCUAAACAGAAUUAAACUUUCCUGGAAUGUUAAUCCAUACAUUUUUUCUUCUUGUGACUCAGACAAAGUUGAUGGGCAAGUGAAGGAAUAAAGAGAAAAGAAUGUAAGGAUCUCCUGAAUCCUCUUUGUUUUCUGAUGCUGAAUGACUUGCCCUACGAUAAACCCUUCCUGGACGUCUGGGGUAACGAGGAAUACGCGUUGGACUGCAAUGUGGUUUUGGGAAAUCUGCUGAUACUGUAACACUCACACUUUAUAAUCUGACUGAAAUUAAUCCGCACAAUUUUAUCCACCUCCCCUUGGUAUCAUCACAAAUGGUUGCAACUCCUUGGCCAUACACCCCAGGACAGAAUGGACUUUCAUUUAAAGUGACCUUUUUCUGAUGGUUGGGUGCAAUUGAACUCAACAUUUUCUUAUCUCGGUAAACCGUUGCCGCUGUGGGGAAAGGUCCCACCGUCUGUAACUGAUCUGUCCUAAAACGGUUUAGAACAAUAUAACAUCUCAAAGUCUCCUUCAUCAAUAUCUUUCUGUUGACUGUGUGAUCUUAUGAUUUUGUUUGUCCUUAUGAGAUAAUGCAGCCAGUUGAAAGGUACUGACUAUAUUAAAGGCACUAUGCUUUAGCGUACCAUGCUGUUAUAGGCAACUGGGGUCUGGAUGUGAUCUGUUAAACGGUUGGACUGUUAUGAGUGCAAAUAUUCUGCCACAUACUAUGGUACUUUAAUAGCCAGAUUUUUCAAAACAUUGCUUACACCAAGCUAUAUCCUCUACCUUGUCUAUAUAUAUAUAUAUUGCAGCUCCACUUUCAACCCAUCUACAGAUUUAUACAAAUAUUUUUUUCAGCAAAAUUUAAUUUAUAUUUGUCAAAAAUAAUUUUUAGGGGUGAUUAAUAUAUUUUAUUACAUUAUUUUUGCAAAUCAGAGGACACAAUUUAUUCAGGGGAUACAAUAGAUUAUAUUGGUAUUUAAUUGGUUAAAACCAAACUAUCCAGUUCAUUUUUGUCUUUUUAUAUUUCUUAGUAUUCCCCCUCCCAAGUACAGAAAGGAAUGCUCCCUCCGAUCACCUGUACCCCCUAGUUAGCUUGAUCUCAUUGCUAACUCACUACCUGUUAACAUGAUUGUAGGAUAUCUCCCUGAAUCUCUUUCAAGUCCUAGAAUGUACAAAGACCAUUAAACUAGUGUGGCUGGAAAGGCCGUGUAGAAACCUCUUUACAUAUAGGAUAGAAUUUGUGUGGAAGGACGUCAGUGGAGGCUGGACCGUAGGGGCAGGUGAGGUGGUAAAUCAAAGGAGGAAAGGUUUGAUGUGACACAAAAUGUGUCCAUCUCCUGUAUUAGGAAAAAGGUUCUACCUCUUAUAUUAAAACAUUUACUGGUUUGAGAUGGAUAGAAACUAACUUUAGUUACAUUAUUAGGCAAUCUUCAUUGUGGGUUUUGACAGUGGUAUUAAAUGAAGGUAACUGUAGAGGCGUCUAUGAUUUCAGUUGUAUGCUGCCACUCUUAAACAUUUCAGGAACUUAAUGGUUUGGUGCCUCUGCAGGAAUUAAUUGUUUUAAUCACAAAACAUGACUCUCAUUGCUUCUUGUGUAUUAAAGUCAUUUUUAAAAAAUCUCUAAUAAAGCACAACUUGAUCUUAUGAAAA